rnacentral:sRNA from 1 species
AGGUUACGGACUGCAGCAUGAAGACGCACAUAAU